UUUCUUUAUGAGAAAGGAAAAUUACAGUACUUUGACCAUUUUACUAUUUAUUAAGGUCAUUAGUGAGAUACUCCAACUCCAGAAACCUUUUGUUUAAUUCUCUCACUAAGAAAAACAUCAUUCGACUCUUUUGAGAAAAAAAAUUUGUACUUAAGGGUGUGUUUUACCACUUGGUGCAUUCACGGAGUGACCUCAUAUGGCCUACAGUGCUGUUGUCGGGCACUUCCCACCACAUACUUUGUUAUAGAGCCCACACUAAUAUGCGGUAGAAAGGAAUCUCGGAGAGAAUUAAGCGGCGGUGCUCGUCGGGCACUUAUCAAUUUGAUGGAGGAGCAAGGAUUUCUUGAAAUAAUUACGAUGUGGCGAGACGAAUUCCUCUAACUCAAGUCCCCACCAUCUUUGAAUGAUAGCACCUUUAUCAAUUUGAUGGAGGAAAGAUUUCCUGAAAUAAUCACGACGUGGCGAGACGGAUUCCUCUAACUCAAGUCCCCACUAUCUUCGAAUGAUAGCACCUUCCAUCGCGUGAAGUCGCAACCUUGACAAGUCUGCACUCAAUCAAUCUCCAGGAACUGGCUGCAAGUGCACCACUUUGAAUGCAUCUUUUGGUUUUCCAACUCUUUUUUAUUAUCAGCUUUUGGUUUUCCAACUUAAUGACUUAAUAAGCCGUUUUGGCCAAUAACAUAGCUGUCAAAUUAUGAAUCAAAUCCAGAAUUGAAAUGAUCCUUUAUCGAAUGGUGAAUCUAACUGAAUCACUCCCGUUCGGUCAUGUUUUCCACUACAUGAAAAAAAAAAAUGGACAAUUUUGGAUUUGGAUGACAGAAAUAGGAAAGUAUAUUGCCCUUGUAGGCUUGAAUCAAAAAAAAAAAAAAAAAACUUAUUUUCAAUGAUGAAAUGACAAUCACGUAAUCUAAUCGGUAAGAGCUUGUGCUACAACUCCUAAUAUUGCCCUUUUUAAACAAAGAGUUAAAAGUUCAAACCACCCUUUGAAGGCCUUUUGUUGUAUAUCAUCCCAUCUUUGAAUAGUAAUCCUAAAGACCUUAAAAAGUAAGUUUGAGCCCUUUCCAACAAAAUAAAUGCAAGACAAAAAAAAGAGAGCUGACAAUCGAAUUUACUAACUCCAACAAUCACUGAUUCGAUUAAACCGAUUUACCAAUUCGAAUCAUCGAUUCACCAACAAUUCACAACUUCUACCGAUUCAUGCAACCUAUUCAUACGGAUAACCUAAUGGAUCGUAUUGAAGCGUAGAACACAAAUAAUAAAUUGUAGGAUACGCUAACAACUACGGCUAAUAAUGCAGGGUUUAAUAGUUCUCCACUAAUUGAUGAAUGGCACCAAUCUCAGGGUAAAGAUUUCCCAAGAUGCAGCCUUCCCAAGUCUAUAUUCCGAAAAAGGGAGUACCAGAUAUGUAUGCUUAGUGAAGAAAUCAUGAUUAAUUUGAUGUUUUGCAAGUAAUGAUUGAGCAUUUAAUCAAAGGAAUAUGAAUAUGAUUCAGCUGUCAUGAGCUCAAGGUGUAUGUAACUAAUCACCAUACCUUUCCCACAUAAUAAAAUUUAGUGACAAGGAAAUAGUGGGAUGAUAUCUGUGCUUGUGGACAAAUAUGGUAAACUUCAACAGGUGACACUAUUCAGGAAUUGUGUGUGCGCGCCCGCGCUCGCAUGAGAGAGAGAGAGAGAGAGAGAGAGAGAGAGAGAGAGAGAGAGAGAGAGAGAGACCUAAAAUAGUGGCCUAGGACCUAUGGAAACAAGUAUAAAAAGCCUGUUGGUGUAGGCUGCAACAAUUCACAAAAGAAAACACACACACACAGAGAUGGUGAGGGAGAUGAAAGAGGUGAUUACUUGGGAUGGUAGAGGUAAGGUGCAUCCAAGGACAAAACCUCUGCAGCAGACUCAAGUCAGGUUUAUGGCAGUGGUUGCGCCGCCGAGUGUGGUGGUGCAUGUGGUGGAUGACUUUACCAUCACCAAUCCUCUUAAAAAGAAGCCUCAAAAGAGAGGCCAAUGAUCCCGUUUUCCACCAUUGCUAAAAAUUGAAAGCAAGUUCUCCCAAAACAACUUCAACUCUUCAAUGAUCUUAGAUAUUUGAGAAACAUUUUCGCUACAAAUGGGUAGAAGAAACAAGUUCCAAGGAACUUUGAUGCGUUUAAGGGAGACUGCAAAUGUAAGCAUUCUGCAAUAGUUUUUACAAGUGUUUUAAGGAUUGAUUAGCUCGUAUUA